UACGAAGGGGGCUAGCGUUGCUCGGAAUCACUGGGCGUAAAGGGCGCGUAGGCGGAUCUUUAAGUCGGGGGUGAAAGCCCAGGGCUCAACCCUGGAAUUGCCUUCGAUACUGAAGUCUCGAGCCGGAAGAGGUAAGUGGAACUGCGAGUGUAGAGGUGAAAUUCGUAGGAUAUUCGCAAGAACACCAGUGGCGAAGGCGGCUUCUGGUCCGGGUUGA
rnacentral:rRNA from 1 species